CCCUCGGUAGCUUACGAGUUUACGUCCAUCCCUGGUCGGGUACAGUUUCCUUUAUUUUUAUCCCUUGUAGCCGUUACCCGAAUUCGCGCAAGUGUGUCCACACCCCCCUGACUUGACGAGGAAUUCAUUCUCGCGAACAAACACACCCCCUACACACACCUAGGAGCACCCCUUCCUGCAUAUCCAUACAAGACCUGAGUAGGCGGGUCGAGGUCCUACGAGGUACCCACUACUCGGAGUACCCUCCCACCAAAAAAAGAUGUGUGGUUCGGUGGUUCGACCAGAAAUGCUAUGCUUACGCACAAGACCACCCCUCUUCCCGAAAGCGUCGCGGGGACCUUUACUACUUUACGACGACGGGGGACCGCCCGUAGGGGGUUUACUGCACAAGAUCGGAAGAGCGCAC